rnacentral:rRNA from 1 species
AUGGUGUUAGCAUCGGGACCCGCGGCCACGUUCUCCGCCCGGCCCGCGGCGCCGGGCGCCGGCCGGCCCUGCUCGUGCGCCGCCGCGGCCACCGGAGGUGCCAGGUUCCGCGGCGCCGACGGGAAGUGGUGGGCGCCGCUCCUCGGGUGGUCGGGCCAGCCCGACUACAUCGACGCCCAGCCGGCGCCUGCACCGGCGACGGAGGAGGAGCGGGCUGCUGCUGGUGCUGCGGGGGCGAGGCGGUUCGGGGUGCUGACGGAGGAGAAGGCGCGUCAGCUGCGGCUGCGGAUGAUGGAGACGGAGAGCUUCCACGACGCCAUGUACCACUCCGCCAUCGCAUCCCGCCUCGCCUCCGCCGCGCGCGACAGCGACGCCAAGCCAUAG